rnacentral:tRNA from 1 species
GGUUGUGGCUCAGUGGUAGAGCAUUUGCCUAACACUGGUAAGUCAUUGAGUUCGAUCCUCAGCACCA